rnacentral:rRNA from 1 species
UGUCAGCCGCCGCGGUAAUACGUAGGGUGCGAGCGUUAAUCGGAAUUACUGGGCGUAAAGCGUGCGCAGGCGGUUCUAUAAGACAGAUGUGAAAUCCCCGGGCUUAACCUGGGAACUGCGUUUGUGACUGUAGGACUAGAGUGUGGCAGAGGGGGGUGGAAUUCCACGUGUAGCAGUGAAAUGCGUAGAGAUGUGGAGGAACACCGAUGGCGAAGGCAGCCCCCUGGGUUAACACUGACGCUCAUGCACGAAAGCGUGGGGAGCAAACAGGAUUAGAUACCCUGGUAGUCCACGCCCUAAACGAUGCGAACUAGGUGUUGGAGAAGGAGACUUCUUUAGUACCGUAGCUAACGCGUGAAGUUCGCCGCCUGGGGAGUACGGUCGCAAGAUUAAAACUCAAAGAAAUUGACGG